GACGAACGCUGGCGGCGUGCUUAACACAUGCAAGUCGAACGGAAAGGCCCCUUUGGGGGUACUCGAGUGGCGAACGGGUGAGUAACACGUGAGUAACCUGCCCUUGACUUCGGGAUAACUUCAGGAAACUGGGGCUAAUACCGGAUAGGAAUCCUUGCUGCAUGGGGGGGGUUGGAAAGCUUCGGCGGUUUUGGAUGGACUCGCGGCUUAUCAGCUUGUUGGUGGGGUAGUGGCUUACCAAGGCUUUGACGGGUAGCCGGCCUGAGAGGGCGACCGGCCACAUUGGGACUGAGAUACGGCCCAGACUCCUACGGGAGGCAGCAGUGGGGAAUAUUGCACAAUGGGCGGAAGCCGGAUGCAGCAACGCCGCGUGCGGGAUGACGGCCUUCGGGUUGUAAACCGCUUUCAGCAGGGGCGAAGCUUGUGGUGACGGUACCUGCAGAAGAAGCACCGGCUAACUACGUG
rnacentral:rRNA from 1 species